rnacentral:rRNA from 1 species
AUCGACCGAUAGUGAACAAGUACCGUGAGGGAAAGGCGAAAAGAACCCCGGGAGGGGAGUGAAAUAGAUCCUGAAACCGCAUGCAUACAAACAGUCGGAGCCCGCAAGGGUGACGGCGUACCUUUUGUAUAAUGGGUCAGCGACUUACGUUUGGUGGCGAGCUUAACCGUAUAGGGGAGGCGUAGGGAAACCGAGUCCGAAUAGGGCGAAUUAGUCGUCAGGCGUAGACCCGAAACCGGAUGAUCUACCCAUGGCCAGGAUGAAGGUAGGGUAACACCUGCUGGAGGUCCGAACCGACUACUGUUGCAAAAGUAGCGGAUGAGCUGUGGGUAGGGGUGAAAGGCUAAACAAAUCCGGAAAUAGCUGGUUCUCCCCGAAAACUAUUGAGGUAGUGCGUCAUGUAUCACUCCAGGGGGUAGAGCACUGUAAUGGUUGUGGGGGUCGUGCUGACUUACCACGCCAUAGCAAACUCCGAAUACCUGGAAGUGCGAGCAUGGCAGACAGUCCCCGGGUGAAACAGUCAGGAGGUUGGCUUAGAAGCAGCCACCCUUUAAAGAAAGCGUAAUAGCUCACUGAUCGAGUCGUCCUGCGCGGAAGAUGUAACGGGGCUAAGCAAAUAACCGAAGCUGCGGACUUGGAGCAAUCCAAGUGGUAGGGGAGCGUUCUGUACGCCUGUGAAGGUGAGUCGUAAGGCUUGCUGGAGGUAUCAGAAGUGCGAAUGCUGACAUGAGUAGCGUUAAACAGGGUGAAAAGCCCUGUCGCCGUAAGCGCAAGGUUUCCUACGCCACGUUCAUCGGCGUAGGGUGAGUCGGCCCCUAAGGCGAGGGCGAAAGCCGUAGUCGAUGGGAAGCUGGUUAAUAUUCCAGCACCGUCUUUAAGUGCGAUGGGGGGACGGAUCGUGGAAGGUUGUCCGGGUGUUGGAUGUCCCGGUUCUUGGCCUGUAGGCGUUUGGUAGGAAAAUCCGCCAGACAUAUACCGAGGGGUUGAGACGAGUGAGCUUGCUCGCGAAGCAACUGGAAGGGGUCCCAGGAAAAGCCUCUAAGCUUCAGCUUAAAGCGACCGUACCGCAAACCGACACUGGUGCGCGAGAUGAGUAUUCUCAGGCGCUUGAGAGAACCCGGGAGAAGGAACUCGGCAAAUUGACACCGUAACUUCGGGAGAAGGUGUGCCUUGGUAGCUUGAGUGUGAACAACACAAGGGCGAAGAGGUUGCAAAGAAUCGGUGGCUGCGACUGUUUACCAAAAACACAGCACUCUGCAAACACGAAAGUGGACGUAUAGGGUGUGACGCCUGCCCGGUGC